ACGGGGAGCACCACAACAGGUGGAGCCUGCGGUUUAAUCGGACUCAACGCCGGGAAACUCACCAGAUAAGACAGCUGAAUGAUAGUCGGGCUGAAGACUCUACUUGACUAGCUGAGAGGAGGUGCAUGGCCGUCGUCAGUUCGUACUGUGAAGCAUCCUGUUAAGUCAGGCAACGAGCGAGACCCACGCCAACAGUUGCCAGCUCGUCCUCCGGGAUGGUGGGGACACUGUUGGGACCGUCUCUGCUAAAGAGGAGGAAGGAAUGGGCAACGGUAGGUCAGCAUGCCCCGAAUUAUCUGGGCUACACGCGGGCUACAAUGGGUGGGACAAUGGGUAUCGACACCGAAAGGUGAAGGCAAUCUCCUAAACCCAUCCGUAGUUCGGAUUGUGGGCUGCAACUCGCCCACAUGAAGCUGGAAUCUGUAGUAAUCGUGUCUCAAAAUGGCACGGUGAAUAUGUCCCUGCUCCUU
rnacentral:rRNA from 1 species